AGAUUGGAGGGUCAGAACUGAUGCCAACACAUGGGAGCUGUCUGCCUCGUAAUGAGCCACUGAUACGACGCACCUGAGGGACGCCAGUGGUGCAGAGGUGGAAAGUUGAACUGCUGAGAACUGAGGGCACAACUAAGCAGAAGAUUUUAAAGUGCCAUGCUUCUCAAGAGAAACAUGAUUGCGGUUUCUCCAUCGUUGCCCCUGUGAGCAUUGAAGUCCCCCAGCAGAAAUUUAGAGUCUCCAGUCGGCGCCUUAUCCAGGAUGCCCCCAAAGUCUCCGAGAAGGUCAGGUGAAACACACACAGCAAGAUUGGUGAGCUGUUGUGACAGGAAAAGGGCAUCCGAUGGAAUAAAAGCACCAUGAAGACUGUCAAUCACCUGCGGAUUUCUGUGCUGACCAUUUGCACUGCGAUCUCUGUACAUAGACAUACUGUACAUAUGUAUUAAAUACAUCUCUCUAAAUGUUGCAGUGUUUACACAGUUCUCACUUAUUUGUAUAUUUUUUUAACUAACUACAAUGUCUACAUUUUUAUUUUUUUAAAUAAAUCUGUAUUCUUUAUUGUACAUGCAUUGUUUGUUUUUAUUUCACACUUGCUUUUGCAAUGUAAACGUAUGUUUCCCAUCGCCAAUAAAGCCCUUUUGAAUUGACUUAAUUGAAUUGAGAAAUCAUGGAGAGAGGGAGCUUGCAUAUGGACAGACAGAAGUGAAACUUAACUUUUAUCUGGGACUCGCGCACGUCUGUUGUCUGACAAGGACUUUAGUCUUGUUUACCCACACAUGACCAUAAUUGGUAGAUAUUAUUCAUUCAGUAUGUAAACCAAACUAAUUAUUAAUAGCACUGGCAAUUGCCAUCUUGAGUUGCGCGAUAACAUUUAACUCAUGAUGUGGUGAUGCAAAGAUUCAACAAAUUGAAUGAACAAACAUG